UCUCUGGUAGGCGCGGGUGUAAUGCUGCUCCUGAUUGUGAAGGUGGGACACUUCUUCUACAAACUGCCGAAUGCUGUGGUGGCUGGUGUCAUCCUGAGCAACAUACUACCCUAUCUUCAAACCAUUUACAACCUACCCAAUCUCUGGAGACAGAACCAAUAUGACUGUAUUAUUUGGAUGGUGACAUUCAUAUCUGCCAUUUUCCUGGGGCUGGACUUUGGACUGCUCAUUUCAGUAGCUUUUGC